rnacentral:rRNA from 1 species
ACGGCUGAGUAACGCGUGGUGACGUACCUAUCGGUGGGGAAUAACUGCCCGAAAGGGUGGCUAAUACCGCAUACGUCCACUGGAGUCGUUCAGUGGGGAAAACCUUGUAAAAGGUGCCGAUGGAGCGGCCCGCGUCCGAUUAGCUGGUUGGUGGGGUAACGGCCUACCAAGGCGACGAUCGGUAGCUGGUCUCAGAGGAUGAUCAGCCAGACUGGGACUGAGACACGGCCCAG